UACGUAGGGGGCAAGCGUUGUCCGGAAUCAUUGGGCGUAAAGAGCGUGUAGGCGGUUCAGUUAAGUCUGCUGUGAAAAGUCCCAAGGCUCAACCUUGGGAUGCCGGUGGAUACUGCUGAGCUAGAGUACGGAAGAGGGCGAGUGGAAUUCCCGGUGUAGCGGUGAAAUGCGCAGAUAUCGGGAGGAACACCGUAUUGCGAAGGCAGCUCGCCUGGGACGUCACUGACGCUGAGACGCGAAAGCGUGGGGAGCGAACAGG
rnacentral:rRNA from 1 species